rnacentral:tRNA from 1 species
ACUAUAAUAUCAUAUUUAUAUAAUGUAUUUAACUUCGGAUUAAAAGAACUUUAGUAAGUUAUAGUU